rnacentral:rRNA from 1 species
UAGGGAAUCUUCCGCAAUGGACGCAAGUCUGACGGAGCAACGCCGCGUGAGUGAAGAAGGAUUUCGGUUCGUAAAACUCUGUUGUUAGAGAAGAACAGCGCAUAGAGUAACUGUUAUGCGUGUGACGGUAUCUAACCAGAAAGCCACGGCUAACUACGUGCCAGCAGCCGCGGUAAUACGUAGGUGGCAAGCGUUGUCCGGAUUUAUUGGGAGUAAAGCGAGCGCAGGCGGUCAAUUAAGUCUGAUGUGAAAGCCCCCGGCUCAACCGGGGAGGGUCAGUGGAAACUGGUUGACUUGAGUGCAGAAGAGGAGAGUGGAAUUCCAUGUGUAGCGGUGAAAUGCGUAGAUAUAUGGAGGAACACCAGUGGCGAAGGCGACUCUCUGGUCUGUAACUGACGCUGAGGCUCGAAAGCGUGGGUAGCAAACAGG